UACAGAGGGAGCUAGCGUUGUUCGGAAUUACUGGGCGUAAAGCGUGCGCAGGCGGCCAUUUAAGUCAGAUGUGAAAGCCCGGGGCUUAACCUCGGAACUGCAUUUGAAACUGAGUGGCUAGAGUAUGGUAGGGGAUAGGGGAAUUCCUAGUGUAGCGGUGAAAUGCGUAGAGAUUAGGAGGAACACCAGUGGCGAAGGCGGCUAUCUGGGCCAUUACUGACGCUGAGGCGCGAAAGCGUGGGGAGCAAACAGG
rnacentral:rRNA from 1 species